UGGGGAAUUUUGGACAAUGGGCGAAAGCCUGAUCCAGCCAUUCCGCGUGCAGGAUGAAGGCCCUCGGGUUGUAAACUGCUUUUGUACAGAACGAAAAAGUCUCUAUUAAUACCAGGGGCUCAUGACGGUACUGUAAGAAUAAGCACCGGCUAACUACGUGCCAGCAGCCGCGGUAAUACGUAGGGUGCAAGCGUUAAUCGGAAUUACUGGGCGUAAAGCGUGCGCAGGCGGUUAUAUAAGUCAGAUGUGAAAUCCCCGGGCUCAACCUGGGAACUGCAUUUGAGACUGUAUAGCUAGAGUACGGCAGAGGGGGAUGGAAUUCCGCGUGUAGCAGUGAAAUGCGNAGAUAUGCGGAGGAACACCGAUGGCGAAGGCAAUCCCCUGGGCCUGUACUGACGCUCAUGCACGAAAGCGUGGGGAGCAAACAGGAUUA
rnacentral:rRNA from 1 species